AGGAGUACGAGGUGUUCCUGAGCUUCAGGGGGCCGGACACUCGCACGGGGUUUACCGAUUGCCUCUACCACGACAUGCUCAGUGCCGGAACCCGCGUCUACCGAGAUGACGAGGAGCUCCGCGUCGGCAGGGAGAUCGGCGGCGAGCUCAUGCGGGCGCUCGACGUGUCCAAGAUCUGCGUGCCCAUCUUCUCCAGGGACUACGCGUCGAGCUCGUGGUGCCUCCGCGAGGUCGCCCACAUGGUUGACUGCGUGGCUCGGUCGAAGGGGAAUAAGGAGAUCUUGCCGGUGUUCUUCAACGCGUCGCCUUCGGAUGUGAAGCUCAGGACUGGGCUGUACAGGAAUGCCAUGGCCAAGCACAGGAAGAAGUUUGGGGAUGAGGAAGCGAAGAGGUGGGGGGAUGCUCUUGUUGAAGUUGCUGAAUUGAAGGGAUGGGACCUCAAAACGAGAGGGCAUGGGGAAACUAUAUAGUUGAUCAUCCGAGAGGUUUAGGUUAAGUUGAAGAUAAAACAUAAGUAUGUGACAAAUCAGCUGGCUGGAGUGGAUGAUCAUGUAGAAGACAUAAUUAAACUGUUGGAUGUUGACUGUGAUGGUGUUUGUUUUGUUGGUAUUCAUGGGAUGGGUGGUGUUGGCAAAACAACUUGCGAAGGUUGUCUUCAACCAGCUCUGUUCAUACUUCGAAGAUUGCUGCUUUCUUGGAGAUGUUCAAUAAUCAUCAGUAAAAGGGGGCCUUGUAAAUUUGCAGAAACAGUUAUAUUGUGACACUCUUGACUCUAGAUACAUGGACAACAUUCAUGACAUUGAUGAUGGGAUUAACCAGAUCAUGACCAGAUACUGUAGUCCCCGAAAACGAAUUGCUGAUUCUCUGCUACUUGAGGAGGAAGAAGAAGAAGAAGAAGAAAACAACGACAAAGAGAGUGGAGUUGGCAGGAAUUCAGGAUGAGCAGUCUUCGGCAGCAAGAUGAAGCGAAGUCUUGUGGGUUCGAGUGUUCAUCGCUGGGUCGGGCAAUUUGGAGGUGGCCAGAUGGCGAAAGGAGAAGAAGGGUGUGGUGGGGCAGAUUUGAGAGAAAGAAGAGAGGGAAUUUGGCAAUGGGCUGGGGAGUCUGAGCGUUUCAAGGAUAAGACGAAGAUUGAGGAUGGUUCGUCGCACACGGUCAACUGGAAGGAUGAAUCAGGGUUCUGUACUUGGCACAUACUUCAGUCCUUUCAUGCAGCUGGUUGAACCUAAACAGAAUGAAGAUUGGUGGUAUGGACAAUUGAGCCAACUGAAUUUGUUUUGCUGGUUAUAUCUGAAGAUUAUAUUCGCUGUGGAUAAACAAAUCCGAAUAAGCCCAAACAGUGAAGCUAGGACGUGAAGGUUAAGAGGUUUCGGGGCAAGAGGCUAUAUGCUGUAGUUGGACUGGGUGUAUCCAACAUUAGUUUAUCCUUUUAAUCUUUUAUAAAGUGUACCAGCCAUGCCCAGAUGGAUCAAAUCUGGUUACCCAUGUAGGAAUAUAACCUCUUUCAGCAAUUUGAUUCACCAUAAUAGCUAGGGGUGUGCAUGUUAGUGGAACACAAAUAACAUGCCUAUUCACAUCAAACACCCCAGUUGAGACAUGAUAAGUGAUGAGUAACAUCUUCUAUACGCUCCCAUGAAAAUGUUCUCUUUCAUCACAAUUAAAUGAAGGAUUGUGAGUGAUUGUUGCUUGCAUGGUCCUCUAUCCAGGACAAUAGAGGAGAAGAGAAUAUGUUCAACCUGGAAUUUGCAGGGAGUCUUUUGUAUCUCUGUGAAUAAGAAUGAACUCCACAAAAUGGAGGAUUUGUGGAAAGAAUUGGAAGUUCUUCUACAGAACGUGAAAGAAAAAGUACAGAGGAAAGAUUCUUCUCGUGAACCAUGAGUUGACGGAAUGUGUUGCCUCUUUUUUCACUGAUAUAAAGGAAGUCUUGAGCUGCGGCAGUCACCUUUUGGAACAAUCCCAUAGAACGCUCUCUCUUUUGCCAGAACAACAUAGACAUGCAGUCAAAUCAGUCCAGUGGAUGUGAGUCUAAACAAGAACCUGUGGAAGGGAUUGAAGAAGUGGAAGCAGAAUUAGAAGCUGAGUUAGAGCGCUUGGAGCUUCAGUUGGAUGCUGAAGCCUCUUCCAAGCAGUCAUAUCAGGAAAUGAUAAAGGUUGCCCCCAAGGAAUCUGCUUCAGCAAGUGGCUGUAGCACGAGUUUUGGGAAAUUAAUGAACCCCAGAGACGAAGUGACUGAAGUUCAGAGCGGAGCAGAGUUCCCCCUGUUGAGCUCGAGAGGAGGUUGCAUGAGCAAGAUUGCAAGAACAAAUCAAAGAGCUUGAAGCAUCUUUAGGGCGUAUGGAGCAUAAGCUAUCUGAGAAAGAGAGAGAGAUCUCGUGGUGGAAAGACACUGCCCUUCUCCGGUCACAGCACGUAUCUGAGCCUUCUCAUGGUGGUCUCGCUGACAACGGAACUUCGAAAUGUUGAACUCAAAACUGAAAAAUUGAUUUGAAUGGUGUGCUGCUUUUCUUUUCCUUCUCUUAUCCUUUC